rnacentral:sRNA from 1 species
GCAGCUCGCAGGAGUGCGGACUGUCGUCUGAUUGUUUGAGGGUGCCAGAUGUAAAUAAUCGGUGGAACGGCUGUAAAAGAGCCUUUCCACUGGGUAGAAUCAGGUUGUGCCGCGGAACCCGCUCCUCAGCGCUUAAACUUCGGAGACGCGGGCAACGCAGGUAUUAUCGUCUAGGGCCGGCUGCAACCGGCCC